rnacentral:rRNA from 1 species
CGCUGGCGGCGUGCCUAAUACAUGCAAGUCGAGCGAACGGACGAGAAGCUUGCUUCUCUGAUGUUAGCGGCGGACGGGUGAGUAACACGUGGAUAACCCUACCUAUAAGACUGGGAUAACUUCGGGAAACCGGAGCUAAUACCGGAUAAUAUUUUGAACCGCAUGGUUCAAAAGUGAAAGACGGUCUUGCUGUCACUUAUAGAUGGAUCCGCGCUGCAUUAGCUAGUUGGUAAGGUAACGGCUUACCAAGGCAACGAUGCAUAGCCGACCUGAGAGGGUGAUCGGCCACACUGGAACUGAGACACGGUCCAGACUCCUACGGGAGGCAGCAGUAGGGAAUCUUCCGCAAUGGGCGAAAGCCUGACGGAGCAACGCCGCGUGAGUGAUGAAGGUCUUCGGAUCGUAAAACUCUGUUAUUAGGGAAGAACAUAUGUGUAAGUAACUGUGCACAUCUUGACGGUACCUAAUCAGAAAGCCACGGCUAACUACGUGCCAGCAGCCGCGGUAAUACGUAGGUGGCAAGCGUUAUCCGGAAUUAUUGGGCGUAAAGCGCGCGUAGGCGGUUUUUUAAGUCUGAUGUGAAAGCCCACGGCUCAACCGUGGAGGGUCAUUGGAAACUGGAAAACUUGAGUGCAGAAGAGGAAAGUGGAAUUCCAUGUGUAGCGGUGAAAUGCGCAGAGAUAUGGAGGAACACCAGUGGCGAAGGCGACUUUCUGGUCUGUAACUGACGCUGAUGUGCGAAAGCGUGGGGAUCAAACAGGAUUAGAUACCCUGGUAGUCCACGCCGUAAACGAUGAGUGCUAAGUGUUAGGGGGUUUCCGCCCCUUAGUGCUGCAGCUAACGCAUUAAGCACUCCGCCUGGGGAGUACGACCGCAAGGUUGAAACUCAAAGGAAUUGACGGC